rnacentral:lncRNA from 13 species
AUGCUGGUGCCGGGCGUAACCGCUGACUUGGGUCCUUGUUGCUUCCCUGGUCCCCUGAUUCCUCCCUUGGGGUGGGCUGAGCGCGCGCACGGUGGCCUGCCACACCUGGGCGGGGCCGCGCGCAGGGCGUGGUCACUGAGGUUGUGCGCAUGCUCACUUGAGGAGUUCUUCCCUUACCGAUCCAGCGUUCCUGGAGGAAGGUCACGUACCGGUUACACGCCACCAUUUUGCCCUCAGUGCGCAUGCUUGAGCUCACUCACUCCACUCCUGAGAUCUUACUGGGAUCAUCACCAGUUUCAGGUCCCUAUUUUGUCUCUGCCUGGGCCGGCCUGUCUGGGGGACAGUGUUCUAGGGUCACGUGCACAUCCUGCCUCCGAGCAGCUGCCUGACAUAGGCCCCCACAAGAGCAGGGAAGAUGAGCAGACACAUUCCAUGAUGGCUGGGUGAAGAGGCAGGCAGUGGGAAAAGAAAGAAAGGAAGAAAAAGAAAGAAAAGAAGAAAGAAAAAAGAAGAAUGAAAGAAAGAAAGAGGAAGAGAAAGAGGGAGAGAGAACGGGAAUCUUGCUCUAUUGCCCAGGCUAGAAUGCAGUCUAAAAAUGUGUAUUGAAAACCUCUUUUAUGCCAAUAAUUGUGCUUAGCAAUGGAGACAGGAAGGAAUAAGGGAGGAAAAUAACAAACAAACAGCCAAUCGAUAUUUCAUUUAAACCUGUGAAAUGCUAUGCAGUUGCUGAGGAGUGAUUUACUUCCAAUUAUGUGGUCACUUUUAGAAUAGGUGUGAUGUGAUACUGAGAAAAACGUAUGUUUUGUGGAUUUAAGGUGGAGAGUUAUGUAAAUGUCUAUUAAGUUUACUGUUCCAGGUCUGAGUUCAAGUCCUGGAUAUCCUUGUUAAUUUCUGUCUCUUUGAUCUGUCUAAUAUUGACAGUGGAGUGUUAAAGUCUCCCACUAUUAUUGUGUGGGAGUCUAGGUCUCUUCAUAAGUCAUUAAGAACUUGCCUUAUGUAUCUGGGUGCUCCUGUAUUGGGUACGUAUAUAUUUAGGAUCGCUAGCUCUUCUUGUUGUAUCGAUCCUUUUGCCAUUAUGUAAUGGAGGACAGGUAAUUUAUAUUACCUGUUACAUUAAUAGGUUUAUCCUAAAUAAAUCAAAAAGAG